rnacentral:rRNA from 1 species
CCUACGGGAGGCAGCAGUGAGGAAUAUUGGUCAAUGGACGCAAGUCUGAACCAGCCAUGCCGCGUGCAGGAAGACGGCUCUAUGAGUUGUAAACUGCUUUUGUACGAGGAUAAACGCAGAUACGCGUACCUUUCUGAAUGUAUUUUACGAAUAAGGACCGGCUAAUUCCGUGCCAGCAGCCGCGGUAAUACGGAGGGUCCGGGCGUUAUCCGGAUUUAUUGGGUUUAAAGGGAGCGUAGGCGGGCUUUUAAGUCAGCUGUGAAAGUUCGCGGCUCAACCGUAGAAUUGCAGUUGCAACUGGAGGCCUUGAGUGCACACAGGGAUGCCGGAAUUCAUGGUGUAGCGGUGAAAUGCUUAGAUAUCAUGAAGAACUCCGAUCGCGAAGGCAGGUGACCGGGGUGCAACUGACGCUGAGGCUCGAAAGUGCGGGUAUCAAACAGGAUUAGAUACCCCAGUAGUC